rnacentral:rRNA from 1 species
ACGCCUAUACCAACCACAAUGAUGGAGGCUGGAUCGUCGACUCUGGAGCAACUGCGCACAUGUCUGGUACGCCUGGAUCUCAAAACCCAGGCCCUGAUCGCACGACAUGAUAGCACUGGCGAUCUCUAUCCAUUCCAUGAAGCCAUGACAACCAACUCUGCAUCGGCGUUCCUCGCUAGUGUCAACCUUUGGCACCGUCGCUUAGGCCAUCCCAAUUCACAGACUGUAUCUAGUUUACUUCAGCAUUUUCAAAUUCCCUGUAGAAAAGACUCUCAUGACCCAGCGCUCUGCGAAGCCUGUCAGAGAGGAAAGCAUGUACGUUUGCCAUUUCAUCUAUCAAAGACAUCUACCUUUACACCAUUUGAGCUUUUACAUUGU